CGGAUAUGGAGCCUCAAUCCUCACCCCAUCAUCGUAGUGAUAAAUAAACUUUGGUAUAAGAAAGAGGUGGUUUGCUUAUGAAAGUUUGAUAAUAAUUUUGGUUAGUCAUAAAUGAUGAUCUUGAGUUAAAACUUGAAAGUAGGUUUUACUCUUAGUAAGCUUUUAUGCAAAAGAAAUGUUUGAUCUUGCUAAAGCCUUACUUUGAAUCCCUUUAGCCUGCAUACCUGAGUCUUCACCUCUUUUCUAGUCGGUUAAGUCUUGUUGAGUACUUUUGUACUCAGGGUUUAUUAACCCAUGUUGCAGGUGAACCUUUUGAUCAACCUUUUGAUGGUCGUUGUUACUUCACUCUUGUGGAGGAGAGUGAUGAUGAUGAAUCUGAUGUGUGACCUUGGGCAAGUAAAACUUGUUGUGUGGCUUAUGGUUUAUGUAAUAUAAAGUUCCGAACCUUUUAUGUACUAAAUACUUAUGGUUUGUAAC
rnacentral:lncRNA from 1 species